UACGUAGGGCGCAAGCGUUAUCCGGAAUUAUUGGGCGUAAAGAGCUCGUAGGCGGUUUGUCGCGUCUGCCGUGAAAGUCCGGGGCUCAACUCCGGAUCUGCGGUGGGUACGGGCAGACUAGAGUGAUGUAGGGGAGACUGGAAUUCCUGGUGUAGCGGUGAAAUGCGCAGAUAUCAGGAGGAACACCGAUGGCGAAGGCGGUUCUCUGGGCCUGUACUGACGCUGAGGAGCGAAAGCGUGGGGAGCGAACAGG
rnacentral:rRNA from 1 species